CCACGGACACCGACGAAACAGCACGUAGGCAGGCCGACAAACAAGGAAGAAAAGGCUCUUUAGCGUGAUUAGUCAAGCAGCAGUCUAAACGGAACGAUAAAGUACACGAGUUUCCUAGUAGAAAGAGAAGUCCGUGUUGCUUGAAAGCGGCUGUCGCCGCCGGGGUGGGCGUGGUGGGACGGCGGCCGGCCGUAGUGGCGGGCAGGAAGCCGAGCCAGGAUUGGGUUUGGCCACUUGCCUAGGGGUGGUAUUGGUAUAGUCCAUGCUUAGGAUAUAGUGACU
rnacentral:rRNA from 1 species